rnacentral:SRP_RNA from 1 species
CAUUUGGGUCUUUCACGACGGAAAUCCACGAACCAUGUCAGGUCAGGAAUGAAGCAGCAUUAAGUGGAAUCUUCCGGGUGUUGAAAGGGUGCCUGGAUCGAGC